UACGAAGGGGGCUAGCGUUGCUCGGAAUCACUGGGCGUAAAGGGCGCGUAGGCGGUCCUUUAAGUCAGGGGUGAAAUCCUGGAGCUCAACUCCAGAACUGCCUUUGAUACUGAAGAUCUUGAGUUCGGGAGAGGUGAGUGGAACUGCGAGUGUAGAGGUGAAAUUCGUAGAUAUUCGCAAGAACACCAGUGGCGAAGGCGGCUCACUGGCCCGAUACUGACGCUGAGGCACGAAAGCGUGGGGAGCAAACAGG
rnacentral:rRNA from 1 species